rnacentral:lncRNA from 1 species
CUAGGUAGCCGCCCACCCUCCGUUGAAGACGUCCUGCAGGACAGCAGCUGCGGCGAGCACAGGAGCCUGACGCAGUCGGAGAGCGACCCUCCGGUAGACGUCUACCUGCCAGAGGAGUAAGCUGGCUCAUCCGACUUCACCAAGACGCUCCCUGGCCGCGGCACCGGCAGCCCCACGCAGCCCCUUCUCUUCGAGCAGACACGUCUUCACCUGGAGGACGAGCAGAGCCUCUCGUGAGCGGGGGCCGGACCUCCCUGCCCACGCCACCGGACCCCAGAACCCACGCACAGCCUCUUCCCCACCUCCCCAGCAGGACUGGCCCGUG